UACGUAGGGUGCGAGCGUUGUCCGGAAUUAUUGGGCGUAAAGAGCGCGUAGGCGGUCCGAUAAGUCGGCUGUGAAAGUCAGGGGCUCAACCCUUGAAAGCCGGCCGAUACUGUCGGACUAGAGUCCGGAAGAGGCAAGUGGAAUUCCCGGUGUAGCGGUGAAAUGCGCAGAUAUCGGGAGGAACACCAAUGGCGAAGGCAGCUUGCUGGGACGGUACUGACGCUGAGGCGCGAAAGCGUGGGGAGCAAACAGG
rnacentral:rRNA from 1 species